GCUGGUGUAGCUCAAGGGAAGAGCAGCGGUUUAGUACUCCGCCGAUGUGGGUUCGACUCCUACCUCCAGCUCCA
rnacentral:tRNA from 1 species